AACCAUAGAAACCUGCGGAGUACCUGCGGAAGGAUCAUUACACAAUACGAUAUGAAGGCUGUCCGCAGCUGGAGUAUUUUAUUACCCUUGUCUUUUGCGCACUUGUUGUUUCCUGGGCGGGUUCGCUCGCCACCAGGACCACCAAAUAAACCUUUUUUAUGCAGUUGCAAUCAGCGUCAGUACAAACAAUGUAAAUCAUUUACAACUUUUAACAACGGAUCUCAGAUCGGAAGAGCACAC
rnacentral:misc_RNA from 1 species